UACGGGGGGAGCAAGCGUUGUUCGGAUUUACUGGGCGUAAAGGGCGCGUAGGCGGCCACUGCAAGUCGGUUGUGAAAUCUCCGGGCUUAACCCGGAAAGGUCAAUCGAUACUGCAGGGCUAGAGUGCAGAAGGGGCAACUGGAAUUCUCGGUGUAGCGGUGAAAUGCGUAGAUAUCGAGAGGAACACCUGCGGCGAAGGCGGGUAGCUGGGCCAACACUGACGCUGAUGCGCGAAAGCUAGGGGGAGCAAACGGG
rnacentral:rRNA from 1 species